GAUGAACGCUAGCGGCAGGCUUAACACAUGCAAGCCGAGGGGCAGCAUGAGACGGAGAUUCGUCUAAGUCUUGAUGGCGACCGGCGCAAGGGUGCGUAACGCGUGAGCAACUUGCCCGUUUCUGGGGAAUAACCGGUGGAAACGCCGACUAAUACCCCAUAGUAUAGCAGAGAGGCAUCUUUUUGCUAUUAAAGAAUUUCGGAAACGGAUAGGCUCGCGUGACAUUAGCUAGAUGGCGGGGUAACGGCCCACCAUGGCGACGAUGUCUAGGGGUUCUGGGAGGAAGGUCCCCCACACUGGAACUGAGACACGGUCCAG
rnacentral:rRNA from 1 species